rnacentral:rRNA from 1 species
GUAGGUGGCAAGCGUUGUCCGGAAUUAUUGGGCGUAAAGCGCGCGCAGGUGGUUCUUUAAGUCUGAUGUGAAAGCCCCCGGCUCAACCGGGGAGGGUCAUUGGAAACUGGGGAACUUGAGUGCAGGAGAGGAAAGUGGAGUUCCACGUGUAGCGGUGAAAUGCGUAGAUAUGUGGAGGAACACCAGUGGCGAAGGCGACUUUCUGGCCUGUAACUGACACUGAGGCGCGAAAGCGUGGGGAGCAAACAGGGAUUAGAUACCCUGGUAGUCCACGCCGUAAACGAUGAGUGCUAAGUGUUGGGGGGGUUUCCCGCCCCUCAGUGCUGCAGCUAACGCAUUAAGCACUCCGCCUGGGGAGUACGGUCGCAAGACUG